AGGUAUACUGUGGGCGUUAUGUCAACGAGCAUAUGUUAAUGCAUGGGUUGGAGUCUAAUCAUCUUAUGGUGCUUAGCUAUGCUGACCUGUCAGUUUGGUGCUAUGGAUGCGAUGCUUAUAUACAUAAUGAGAUUCUCAUACCAGCAAAGAGAGCUGCACAUCUUGAUAAGUUUGGUGUUCCUGGAGUUUAGCAUCAUACGAAGCUGUGAGAGGCUCACAAAAUGUUUAAAGUCAGCUACACAGAAUAAAAAUAUCCAGUCCAAGUAUAUAUCUCAUUGACCAACUUUUGUACUUGAAACGCUGCAUCCAUCUUGAAGAAAAAUUGUAUAUCAGUUUUACUCGUUCCUAUUCAAUGAAUCUUCUUGAUUGGAUUUAAUGGGAAUAAGUGCAGCUUAGUAAACACCAUCUUUCAGGGAAUAUGAACUUUUGCCUCACUGCACCAAUCUCUUUCUUAUUUCCAACAAAGUGCAGUCUCUGAUCUGUAUUCUAAACUCUUGUCCAUAUAAAGGCUAUGGAUAGCAAAAUAUGACAAAACAUUACAGGUGCAAUUUAUCAAAUCAUUUGACAAUGAUCAUUUGUGCUCUAAAAAUGAAAUUGACAUUCCUGUAAGACUAUUAAAUCUAAAGGUCCUAAUAUUCACACAAACAAGAUAUACAAGAAUUUAUCCAUAACACUAUUUUUUCAGAUUGUUGAGAGUUUCAGCACAUCUUAUGCUUAAUAAUUGAACCUCACACUUCAAACUUUUUUUUUUUUUCUUUCAAAUGUCUCGCUGAAAUAUUGACAAAUUAUAUUUCACUCAGAGUUUGCUCUUUCAAACGAUUGAUUGAUUCAUUUAUUUCCACACUUCAUAAAAAGAACAAUGCAGUGUAAAGAUGAUUAUUACAGAAUACAGUACAAUAUAUUCCAAUGCGUAAAGAAAACAUACACUACACAAAACCAUAAACCAAAAUCUGAUCAAUACUUAAAUCAGACAAGAAGAGAAACAGUAUAUGUAAAUGUGGGGGAUCAUUUAAAAAGUUAAAAACUUAUAACAUAAUCCCAAUUUUGUCAAUAAAAGUUUGAGUUUUGCAGAGAAAGACUAGAAAAAAAAAUGAAAAUGUAAUUGAGGUAACUUAGUCUAGGAAAUUAAAGUUUUUGUAGAAGAAAUGUUUUAAGUUUAUAUUUAAGCACAUUAAGGAAUAGUGAACUUUUUACAUCAUCGGGGAGACUGUUCCAGAAUACAGGACCAUUAAGAAUUAUUGACUUUCGGGAUAAGGAUAAUUUCCCACAUGAAACACGGUAAUCAGAUUUUCUUCUAGUAUCAUAAUUGUGAAUAUCAGAAUUUUUACAAAAUAAAGAAUCAAAAUACAUGUACAUAGGAUAGUUGAAAAAAAAAGAGCAAACUGGUGCUAAGUUGGACGAUCACUUAGGGAAUUCAUUUUUUAUUGCACUUCAGCCCAUUAAUUCUAUGUGGUUAAAGUUUUAGUCUUUGUUAGUUUGUUUUAUGUGAACAUCAUCCAUGCUCUUAAAUGUUUGAAUAUUGCAUUGUGGUGGGUAAAUUAAUGAUGUUCUGAAUUCAGAACCAUUGAAGAUGAUGUGGUCACUAAAGCAGCUUAUCAAAAGAUAUUUUCAUGACCAAUCAAACUACAUGCCAUGGUAAUUCAUUUUAUGUGUUCUAUAUGGAGUAUGUGAGAAAGGCAUAUUGCAUACCAUUAUUGCAUGGCAUGAAAAAAAAAAGGUUUCAAAUUGUAUCAUGUACAUUCUUGGUGCAUCACAUAUAAUCCAUUUGUUGACAUUUUUCAAGUCGCCAUUUGUCCAUCAAAGAAUGAUGUGUGUAGUUACACAUUAA